AUAAUUAUUUUAUUUGUCUAGACUCGUCUACUGUUCGUGCUUCAGAGGCGAACCAGAGUUAGUUGCUUGCCGGUAUUUCACGCGGAUUAGCAAGCUGGUUAUGAUCUGAAAGAGUCUGGUGAUCUCCGUAUUUACUUUUCCUCGGAGGUUCCAUUUAUUUUGAUAAACUGUCAAACUAUUUUAUUCUUAGACCGCAGUAGUUGACUAGACGUCUUUAUUAUUGUUACAGUUAUUUGUCGGAUUGGUCUGACUGGUUAUAUUGCUCUGGCAUGUUAUGUAUUUACUUCGGAUUAUUUAUGUUAUGCCUAUUUAGACCCAAAAUUGAAUAAGCAUGUUAUAUUAA